rnacentral:rRNA from 1 species
GACGAGCGCUGGCGGCGUGCUUAACACAUGCAAGUCGAACGGAAAGGCCCUGCUUUUGUGGGGUGCUCGAGUGGCGAACGGGUGAGUAACACGUGAGUAACCUGCCCUUGACUUUGGGAUAACUUCAGGAAACUGGGGCUAAUACCGGAUAGGAGCUCCUGCUGCAUGGUGGGGGUUGGAAAGUUUCGGCGGUUGGGGAUGGACUCGCGGCUUAUCAGCUUGUUGGUGGGGUAGUGGCUUACCAAGGCUUUGACGGGUAGCCGGCCUGAGAGGGUGACCGGCCACAUUGGGACUGAGAUACGGCCCAGACUCCUACGGGAGGCAGCAGUGGGGAAUAUUGCACAAUGGGCGGAAGCCUGAUGCAGCAACGCGGCGUGCGGGAUGACGGCCUUCGGGUUGUAAACCGCUUUCGCCUGUGACGAAGCGUGAGUGACGGUAAUGGGUAAAGAAGCACCGGCUAACUACGUG